UGGGGAAUAUUGCACAAUGGGCGAAAGCCUGAUGCAGCAACGCCGCGUGAGUGAUGAAGGCCUUCGGGUUGUAAAGCUCUGUCUUUUGGGACGAUAAUGACGGUACCAAAGGAGGAAGCCACGGCUAACUACGUGCCAGCAGCCGCGGUAAUACGUAGGUGGCAAGCGUUGUCCGGAUUUACUGGGCGUAAAGGAUGCGUAGGCGGAUUUUUAAGUGAGAUGUGAAAACCCUAAGCUUAACUUGGGGACUGCAUUUCAUACUGGAGAUCUAGAGUGCGGGAGAGGAGAAUGGAAUUCCUAGUGUAGCGGUGAAAUGCGUAGAGAUUAGGAAGAACACCAGUGGCGAAGGCGAUUCUCUGGACCGUAACUGACGCUGAGGCAUGAAAAGCGUGGGUAGCAAACAGGAUUAGAUACCCUGGUAGUCCACGCCGUAAACGAUGAGUACUAGGUGUAGGAGGUAUCGACCCCUUCUGUGCCGCAGUUAACACAAUAAGUACUCCGCCUGGGAAGUACGAUCGCAAGAUU
rnacentral:rRNA from 1 species